rnacentral:misc_RNA from 1 species
GAUGAAGAACGUAGCGAAAUGCGAUAAGUAAUGUGAAUUGCAGAAUUCAGUGAAUCAUCGAAUCUUUGAACGCAUAUUGCGCUCUCUGGUAUUCCGGAGAGCAUGCUUGUUUGAGUAUCAGUAAACACCUCAACUCCCCUUUCUUUUUUUGAAAUGGGAGCUGGACUUGAGUGAUCCCAACGCUUUUCUCACCGAAAAGUGGCGGGUUACUUGAAAUGCAGGUGCAGCUGGACUUUUCUCUGAGCUAAAAGCAUAUCUAUUUAGUCUGCCUAAAAAACAGAUUAUUACCUUUGCUGCAGCUAACAUAAAGGAGAUUAGUUCUUGUGCUGACUGAUGCAGGAUUCACAGAGACAGCUUCGGCUGGCCUUUGUAAACUCGAUCUCAAAUCAAGUAAGACUACCCGCUGAACUUAAGCAUAUCAAUAAGCGGAGGA